AUUACCUUCAAGUUUUAAUAUUUAUUCAUAUGUCAAGGGGAUUAAUUAUGUAAAUCUUAGAAAGAAAGAAAAAAAUUACUUUUGUCAAAAAAUGUUAAUAACAUAAGAGAUUAGUUUUUAGACAGAAGAGUGAAACCCUAGUUUUCAGUGCAAUGACGCCGAAUCUGAGAUCUAGGGCUGGAGAUCGAUUCGCUCUCGCGGGACUUUGUCUUCAUCAUCGUUUGGUAGUAUUAACGGUGUGGUGGUAACAAAACAUCCCCUCCAGGAUCUUUUAGGAGAAGAUGAGAUAGAAGAUUAUUUACGAAAGUGGAGUGUGCCAGAGAGUAGAUUUGAGGAAUCCGAUGGGGGCCGUCCGUAGCUGUAAUUGGAAUUUUUCUAAUAAUCUGUAAGCUUUGUAUUUCGUGGACCAGUCAGACGUCAUAUAAAUUAUGGAGUUGCCUUUCGAAUUUAUGUAUGUGUGUGUGUGUUAUUUGAUGUACACAUGAUAUCUGAUUUGUGGCACGAGUUAAGAGAAUCAGCUUAUGUAAACAUAUAAGCUGAUUAACAUAUACUACUAAUUAGCUAGCUAGGACGAGUUGCAGUAAUUUUCAAAAUUAAAACGUUGAGUGAGCUGCAUGCGUGCGUUAUGGUGGAGAUUCACGUGAUCCUUCAUGCUUAUGCACAUGUAUCAUGUAUCUUCGUUCGAGAUCCAAUAUUGUGGCUUUGAACGGUGAAAACAAAUAACAUUCCUCGCUUCGGGAAGUUAAAAAGGAACCACGACUUUGUAGCGUACGAUGCAAAUGUCUCAGCCACAAGCAUACCCUGUUGCACAAGAACUACCUCUACAACCACAGUCGGAGCUAAGUACACAGGAUAUACAAACACAAAACGAUGAAUUAGAAGAAGAGUUACUGCAACAACCGCCACAGAAUCCGAGUACCCAGCUGUAGAAGCUAAUAAGUGAAAUGAAGGUGAGCGAUGAUGAUAUCAUCUUUAGAUACCAGUCGUAUAACUUGGAAUUUUUGUUUGUAACGUCGAGAAGGUAAAGAAAAAUGUUCUUGGUGUCUUGGGAGUUUUGGUGUGUUUUGGACCUUUGUAUGUGUGUUUUUUUUUUCACAUUUAACUUACCAAU